UACAAGUUCAUCUUCGAGGACAAGCAAAUCGAACAAUCCUUUUCGCGGUUGCCAACCUACAUGUGCUACACGCUCAACUGGAAGGGCAACAACGAAAUGAAGGCCUUCCACGAGUACCCACCUCUUUUUGAUUUCAGCUUGUUCAUUACGUGGAAAUUGGACAAGUUGGUGGCGUUGGACCAAUUCACAGCCGAUGUCGGCUUGCACCACGUGGACAGCUUGGACGCGGGAGCCAAACACAAAAUCAUAAUGGAACCUAAUAGUAAUUACGAAUACACCGUC